ACCCCAGUGAUUCAACCGCGCCACCGAGCGCGGAGCUGCCCUGGAGGACGCAGGCGGGUCUAGUUGCCCGGGUCCCCCAAGGCCCCCGGAUUCACCCAGGCCCGCGACUCCGACGUGCAGCUUAGGUGGGUUGCAGGUCUAUGGCAGGAAAGGGAGGGCGCCUUGGAAGAAUUCUUCCCUUCCAUUUGGUGAUAAAGUGGGAGAGGCGGCAUUUACAACAUUUAAUAGAAAGCACGGGCUCUGGGCUCCCCUCGGGCAGCGGAGGGCAUUUCCCGGAUGCUUUGCCCACCUGGGGCAGAAGCUCGGGACCUGCAGCGAAGUAAACGUGUGGCUGUGAGCAGGGCCCUCUCCCAGCCACGGUGGCUUCUUCUACCCCACGAAGGUCAAGAAUACCUGGCCUGCCCACCUCGCGGGGCCCUUAGCGGGUCGCACAGGAGAAAGGCGGUGGGAAUGCCGGUGUCAGCCACGGUGUGACCGGCUCGGCUCACAGGUCUGAGGGUCAGUUGGCUCAGGCAUCGCCCGGUACGACCAGAGAUAGUGACUGAGGAAGAGCAGCCUCACAUCUGGCAGUUUGCCUCUGGGAGAAUUCCAGCGUGACAUCUGCAGCUCUGUGGUUCCAGAAAGGAUGGUUCCCACAUUGAAGAAGACAUCUGUGGGACUGAGUUCCACCGAAAUGCAGAGGAACCAAAAAUGAAAAUGAAAAAUGUAACCAGAGUUGUGUGCCACUAGUUUUAAGCUUUGGUUUUUCUAAAUUAUUUUCUGGCUUCUCCUUCUGGGCUUUGCUGUAAACUUGCCAAGCAUGAGAACAACUCUUCAUCUAUUGAGUGGCAUUUUAAGCCAUCCUGUCAAAGUAUCUCCUGUCAUUUUUAUUAUUAUUACUCUAUAUUGCCUGCAAGACACGACUGGAGAAUUCUUAGUGUAAGAAUUGUUUGUUUCCUCUCUCCUUCUUUCCCACGUUUUCCCAGGGAAGUCAGUCUUGCAUUUUAAUGCAUACUAUAUACAUAUCUCGUUUAGCUUACUGAACCACUUGUUUUAACAGAAUAAAACUGUGCAAAAUUUUAAUUUU
rnacentral:lncRNA from 10 species